rnacentral:rRNA from 1 species
AAGUGCCUACGGGAGGCAGCAGUGGGGAAUAUUGGACAAUGGGGGGAACCCUGGUCCAGCGACGCCGCGUGAGUGAAGAAGUAUUUCGGUAUGUAAAGCUCUAUCAGCAGGGAAGAAAAUGACGGUACCUGACUAAGAAGCCCCGGCUAACUACGUGCCAGCAGCCGCGGUAAUACGUAGGGGGCAAGCGUUAUCCGGAUUUACUGGGUGUAAAGGGAGCGUAGACGGUGCAGCAAGUCUGCUGUGAAAGGUCGGGGCCCAACCACGGGACUGCAUUGGAAACUGUUGAACUGGAGCACAGGAGG